AUGCCCAUAUUUCUCUUUUUUUUAUUUUGCUUAUUUUACGUGCUUUGCUUGUUAUGUUAUGUUGUGUUAUGUUUUUUUUGUUAUUUUUUUUUUUGUUAUGUUUUUGUUUGUUCUGCUUUAUUCUGUUCUGUUCAGUUCUGUUAUGUUCUGUUUAGUUCUGUUAUGUUCUGUUUAGUUCUGUUAUGUUCUGUUAUGUUCUGUUCAGUUCUGUUAUGUUCUGUUCAAUUCAGUUAUGUUCUGUUCAGUUCUGUUAUGUUCUAUUCUGUUCUGUUCUGUUCUGUUAUGUUCUAUUCUGUUAUGUUCAGUUCUGUUCUGUUCUGUUCAGUUCUGUUAUGUUCAGUUCUGUUAUGUUCUGUUCAGUUCUGUUAUGUUCAGUUCUGUUAUGUUCUGUUUAGUGAUGUUAUGUUCUGUUUAGUGCUGUUAUGUUCUGUUUAGUGCUGUUAUGUUAUGUUUAGUGCUGUUAUGUUCUGUUCAGUUUUACUCUUUUUUUUUUUUUUUUUAAUUUACAAAGUAUUUCUUCAUAUAUUUAUCGAGCUCAAUAUAUACCAAACAAUUAUAAAUACUCAAAAAUGCUUAGUAUGAACAUAACUGCAGUAAAAUAAAGCUACAUAGCAAUAUAUGUUUUUUUAAAGU
rnacentral:lncRNA from 1 species